rnacentral:rRNA from 1 species
AUUGAACGCUGGCGGCAGGCCUACCACAUGCAAGUCGAACGAGUGGCGGACGGGUGAGUAAUGUCUGGGAAACUGCCCGAUGGAGGGGGAUAACUACUGGAAACGGUAGCUAAUACCGCAUCCCAUCGGAUGUGCCCAUAUUGGCGUAGCUAGUAGGUGGGGUAAAGGCUCACCUAGGCGACGCUCCCUAGCUGGUCUGAGAGGAUGACCAGCCACACGGGAACGGAGACACGGUCCAGACUCCUACGGGAGGCAGCAGUGGGGAAUAUUGCACAAUGGGCGCAAGCCUGAUGAAGCCAUGCCGCGUGUAUGAAGAAGGCCUUCGGGUUGUAAAGUACUGUCAGCGGGGAGGCGUUACCCGCAGAAGAAGCACCGGCUAACGCCGUGCCAGCAGCCGCGGUAAUAC